AGCUGCGUGCUCAUGAAAAUCAUACAUAACCCCGAAAAAACCCGCCCCACAUAACCCCCAAGUAAUUUUCAACUGAGCAACAUUUGCGAACUGCAAUCAUGAAAUGAGGCAAAGCAAGUGACCUCCUAACCUGGUUUCGCCUGAGACAUGACAGAAUUGAUCGAACCUUUGCCUUAAUGGCGAAAUAAUAUUGAAAGUAUGUCAAUAAUUGCGUCCAAUGUCGCACUAACCUUAACUUCACGUGGUGUAGUGUCAGCAUUUCAAGAAGUUGUAGAAAAAGCCUUGAGAUUUGCUCAGCGUGUCCUCUUUGAUGCACAGCAUUAAGAUAUCUUCUGAAUAACUAGACGUUCCUCGGAGUGGACGAGAGCUGCUUUGACUGUGGAGAGGAUAAAUAAACUAGACUUAAUAAUCAAAAAUCGAUUAUCAACUUCUAAAUGUAACGUCAAUGCGUCUACCGCAUUACAUACCUGUACGAUUGUAAGUCAGACCAAUUCAGUUACCAUACCAACAGCGGAGGUGUUAACAGCCACGAAGUUUGAUCAAUACCUGGGCAUUUCUUGUUAUAAAUACGGGCGGCUAUUGUUGGUUCUGGAACUAGUUUCUUUGUAGUGAGCAGCAUGGCGAGGUCAAGACGUAAACUUAACCCUAAUGGGGGAAGAAGAAUUUCACAGCAUUCCACAGGAUCUCUUUCACUCGCUAUGUCCCAAACUGGUUACGCCAGUGGCCAGACGGCAGAAAAGGCUGAAGAAUCCGAAGAAUCCGAAGAUGACGAACUUCCUAUUUUACCUAGGCAAUCCAUUCCGGAUUCAGAACUUUCUCCACAAUAUUGGUUUCUCCUCAAAGUCGUCAAGUACAUCAAGUUUGGAAGUCCGACAGCCACGUUACUGGCACUAUGCGGACUGAGCCGCUACGACCUCACUCUUCCAAUGUGCCAGCAAGCUUUGGAGAAUUCCGAGGCUGUCGAUGUCCUCAUCAACGUUCUGGAAGCCGAAGACCAUAAGUGCAAAGUGGCAGCCCUAAGAGUAUUACAAAAUCUGGUGAAAAUACAACAUUUCCAGCGCUUGUUGGUUAUUAAGUCCGGAAUCGCAACGGUCGUACGCUUACUCUCAGAGGCAGAACCAGAUGUCCGAUGUCUAGCUGCCGGUACGUUGGCGCACGCUGUCAAUAAUCACCGAUCCAGAAUGCUCACCCGUAAAGCUGGCGCCGUUCCUCUGCUGGUGGAUUUACUAGACAUUCAAAGUGGGCCGGUGAUCGUGACAACCGACGAAUUCAACUUUAAAGCCGCGACGAAACAGAAAAUUCAAGCGGCCACUGCGGCCGCCAAAGCGUUGCGAUCGUUGAGUUACAGCGCGUCGGCCCGUCGUGAAUUGUAUCUGGCAGGAGGGAUACCACUUUUGACUCGUUUGACUCUUUCGAUUGGCGGCAUCCAGCGGGAGUAUCAGCAUCUCAAUUCAUCGUUGGGAACAACAAACCGCGCUCCUUCAGUUGCCAGCACCGUCACUGGUCAAAAGCCAUCUGUUAAUGUGAAAUCAAGAAUGGCUCAUAAAAAAGCUGCUGCGGCUUCCGCCAGCACGGACUCCGAGCUCGACUUUGAGUUAUUGACAGCAGUCAAUGGAGUUAUUCAUCAAUGCGCGGCGGAUGACGUAUUCCGGGCUUCAGUAAAGGCGGACAUCCUACUAGGCCAACUUCUACGACAUAUGCGUUACGAUUGCGAGCAACUACAGACACUUUGCGCGUCGACCAUAGCUCACUUUGCUGAGGAUGAGACAAACCGUAAGGUUCUGACCCAACUUAAAGCCACGGAGACUCUCGUUUGGGUCCUUAAGCAAGGUGAAUAUCAGUUUCAGUUGGCUUCCAGUUACACAGCGGCAAUGGCUCGCGCUAAGUAUGAAGAAGAACAACCAUUAGAGCUUCAAGUUCAGGGCCGCCCAACAACGGCGCCACAAGAAGAAAAACCAGUAGAAAAACCACAAGUUAACAUACCACUAUUGAAAGCUGUUUCCACUGCCGUUUGGAAAUUGUCUCUCUCGCCGGAAGCUCGUGAUCGAUUCAGACAGCUGGGCAUAGUCCGCAUCUUCAUUCGCCACCUAAAUCAACCAACAGAAGAAGUUCUAUUACCCAUUGUAAGCAGUAUAUCUGUCAUUGGAACCGAUCAGGAGAACUUAGCCCUACUUCGUACGGAGCGUGCUGUACCACGUUUCGUCUGGUUAUUGUCGGGAAAUCACCCUGGAUUGCUAUCAGCUGCAGCACUAACCAUGGCCAAUUUGACAGCAGAUGUAGAUGCUCUGGAGCUUUUGGAAACUAUUGAUGCUGCCAGGCUUCUGUGGUCGCUUCUCAAGCACCCAUCUCCAGUAGUGCAAGCUGGUGCGGCUUCAGCCAUCGCUGCUUUCUCUGAACGUUCAAAAAGAGCUGGUGAAGUAGCCCGCAGUUUGGUUGGUGGACUGGAACUUUUAGUGAGCCUUCUUCGAGCUCCUGAACUAGAAGUGGUGACGGCGGCCGCUGCAGCUGUGGCUAGGAUGGCAACCGAAGAUGAGACGCUGGCCGUCCUGUCUGACCAUCAUGUGGUUUCGCUCCUGGCAUCGCUAGUUAGACACAAAAAUCGAGAUUUGAAAUUACGUGUGGCCGAAGCUAUUGCCGAAUGUUGCCGUUGGCCAGGCAAUCCAGCUCAACUGGGCCAAGGUGGAGGAGUCAAACCACUUAUUGGCUAUCUUCGAUCGAGUCAUCUCGAUUUGAGGAGGGCGGCUGCAAGGGCCCUUCAUCAAGUCUCAUCUGAUCGUGAAAAUUGCUUUAUACUUCAUCAUCACGGGGCUGUCAUGCUCCUGUUGAAAUUGGUUGGAUGUGGUGACGUGGAGAUUCAGUCGGCAGCGGCUGGUUGCUUGAGUAACAUCCGUAACUUUAUUCACAAUGCCUGAAACGAAACGAAAAUUCCUUUUAGUUUAAUUGAAAUUUUAGAAGAAUAUAGUUAAAUAAUGACUACAUCCUCAGUCUCAGUUGCGUCACAUCAAUGCAACCGUCUACAAAUAGAUCAGCGAAGAAAAAUGCGUAAAUUUUGUUUGCAUAAACUUUUAGUGUACUUCCUGGGAAAACACUUAAACAUGACUUCAACGUGACUUUUGAUUCAAAGCCAGAAAAUUAUACCGAAAAUCGGACAAACAUU